AAACAGCAUAAUAUAAAAUAUUUUAAACAAAGAUGCAUUUUAGAUGUUGAGGUUGCUGGCUUUCCAUAGUUAAGGUUGAUUGUAUCAAUCGUAAAACAUUGAAAGACGGGCUCUAAGGGCCCGUUUCAUAAAGGACUUGCAAUUUUGCCAUAAUGGCAAAGUUACAACAGUUGUAAGUCCUUUAUGAAACGGGCCCCAGGAGUCUGAAAGGAUACAGAUAAUUUAAAAGUACUUAAUUCCCUGUGGAAACCAGCUUAAACGUGUCCUGGGGACUCUCGACGUAAUUUUAAGUGGUCUUCCAAACCAGUAUGGAAAAACGAGCUCAUGAUGUGGUUUUCAAGACCACUUUGCCUCGUUAAACUGGUUUAAGUGUAGAUGAGGAUACAACUGUUCUUUGGGAAGCGAUCAUUGCACGGAAUUAUGAUAAAUGUUUGCACGUUGGGCACGCUACUCGGUUCACACUGCCUGUAUUCUGGAGUCAGGUUUAAGUUAGACCACGGUCUAACUCUGCUAAAAUUAUGGAAAGCCAAAAAUGUCAAAGUUUUUCUUACAUUGUAUGUUUCUUAUUUUUACUGUGCUCUUUCCUAGCUUGUGAAUGAUGGAGAAAGCUAUCUUAUUUGUCCUUCCGAAACAGUUAAGAAUGCUGUGAGAGAAAAAUGAGGGGAUACGUUGAAAAUAUACGCCACAAAAUUUAUGCCACUAUUGGCUAUCCAUAGUUAAACAGCAACUUUUCAGAGUUUACUUUAAACCCGAGUUCAGAAUACGGGCCACUGUGUGUAGAAAUGCCUGCCCUGUGAUUUCAAAUU